CACGUAGGGCGCAAGCGUUGUCCGGAAUUAUUGGGCGUAAAGAGCUCGUAGGCGGUCCGUCACGUCCGCUGUGAAAACCCAGGGCUCAACCCUGGGCUUGCAGUGGAUACGGGCAGACUAGAGGUAGGUAGGGGAGAAUGGAAUUCCCGGUGUAGCGGUGAAAUGCGCAGAUAUCAGGAGGAACACCGGUGGCGAAGGCGGGUCUCUGGGCCUGACCUGACGCUGAGGAGCGAAAGCGUGGGGAGCGAACAGG
rnacentral:rRNA from 1 species